GUCAGAACCAGUCUGUUUCUAACUUGUCUGAGAUCUGAAGGUGAACCCGGUCCACUUUCUAAAUCAGACUCGGUCCACCCUUAGGCCCAGUCUGUUUUUAAAGUCGCACCCAGUUCAACUCCGGGCAGUUUAUGCACGGAGUCUGGAAAACAAACGCUCAAGUAAUGCCAUGUUCCUAAGAAAAAAGCAGCAGAGGCUUGGAGAGGGUCACACCCAGCAUCUCCUGAGGAGGAAGAGGCCACGAGCUCGCUCGGGGUUCAGCAGUGCUACUAUUGUUUCCCAUGUGUUGCAAAUAGAAACGUAUAGCUCAUCUGUGACCUCCUAUCCCAGUGGAAGAGGAAUUGUGUUUAAGGAGCCAAUAUUCACAACUUCUGGUUAUAGCUGGGAAUCAUGA
rnacentral:lncRNA from 1 species